rnacentral:rRNA from 1 species
UACGGGGGGGGCAAGCGUUGUUCGGAAUUACUGGGCGUAAAGGGCUCGUAGGCGGCCAACUAAGUCGGACGUGAAAUCCCUCGGCUUAACCGGGGAACUGCCUUCGAUACUGGGAGCCUUCGAGUUCGGGAGAGGUGAGUGGAACUGCGAGUGUAGAGGUGAAAUUCGUAGAUAUUCGCAAGAACACCAGUGGCGAAGGCGGCUCACUGGCCCGAUACUGACGCUGAGGUGCGAAAGCGUGGGGAGCAAACAGG